GCUCACCAUUUUCUCCAUUCCAUGGACAUUUUCCCACCACACCAGUGGCUACUCCCACUUGCACUAGGAGCGCUGUGACACCCCAACUUGUGGGGCAGAGGUCAGGCCCAGAGUGCUGAAGUGCUGAAGCUCCUGUAGAAGGUCCUUCCAUGUGUCUUUCAGAUCCUGGGCUUGGCCUUCUCCAUAACCAUCACCCAGCACAUCCACUGGACUGGGUCUUGCUCUGUCAUCCAGACUGGAGUACAGUGGUGCAACCACGGCUCACUGCAGCCUUGAACUCCUGGGCUCAAGCAAUCCUCCUACCUCAGCCUCCAUAGCAGUCGGGACCACAGAAGUUGCCUGCUUCCCCUUCGCCUUUGCCUUCUGCCAUGAUUAUAAGUUUCCUGAGGCCUCCCAGCCAUGCUUCCUGUUAAGCCUGUGAAACUCUCUGGACUGGGCAACUACUGGUCCCCUCAGCAAAGAUUUAUCUUUCUGCAUUUGCAAUGAAAACAUGUCCAACUCCAGGUUUGGGGAUGAGGACAAAUCAGCUGGUCCACGGUGGAGAAACCCUGUCACAGUAGAGUGAGUUGGUCUGGGGGUGAGGCUUGCAGUAGGAGUGUGUGUCUCAACAGACAGAGCCCCCU
ensembl:lncRNA TSPAN11-AS1 TSPAN11 antisense RNA 1